rnacentral:lncRNA from 1 species
CAUAAUGCGUAAUACUAGAUUAUAUUGAAUUAAUGGGCUAAAAUUUUUACAUGCAUUUUGUUAUAAGAGACAAAGAAACACACUUGGUCCUUCUGGUUCUUUUUCAUCAUAGCCCGUUAACUCACAGGUCUCAUUUUCCUGGGCCAAUUGCCAAAGGAAACGUCUGCAAUGAACGUUAGGUCCCUCCUUGCUCUCGAAAAUGUGGGAGUCCUUGUGCGCCGCCUUCUUGCCUGCAACUGCAAAGCUUGAAAAGAAGCGCGUCUUAAGAAGGUUGUUGCGUGGUCCGAUAUCUUUAUUUUCCGCGUUGCUCGACUGCGCUUUCCCUUUGAGCCCGCGGCGCGGAGACAUCAACGUUAUUAGCGCGCAUCUCAAAUCUGGUCUUUAGUAAAACUCCAGUCAGCCCUUAACAUUUAUUGUGAGCGGUCGAAUUAGACUGGAUCCCCGCUUUAAAGCAAAGCCGAAGUAGACGCGGGCUUGAACAACACUUGAUGGACAUUUGUGUUAUCUAUGGGGAGCAGUCUCUACUAAUUAAAAAGAGUGAAGAAGAAGAACACAGAUUAAGACAGUGCACGCUGAAUGUAUUUGCUAAUAAAGGCCUUGAAAUAUGGACAGGGGCUUUUUCCCACGAAGGAAGAGGUUCCCCAGAAGAUGCCAUGAUCAGUGGUUUCAGCAGAACUAUAUACCAAAUGAAAACUUUUGGAUGGAUUCUUGGGACAUGCCACAGAAUCAGUUUCCAAAGAGACCCCCUCCAUGGCGGAACCACCACUAUCCAGACCAAGAGAGGCCCUACAACGUCGGUUUUGAUAAUUACACCCGGGGUUCCUACCAUAGGCGUCCUUACCGUGGUCGUUUUUGUACAAGAUCUAAAAAGACCUUGAAAGGAAGAGGUAAUUUUCAAAACCAAUCAAGUUCUUCCUUCUCAAUCAAUGUGCCGCCAAAGAAAACAUUUGAGAAGGUGAAAGAACAGCCAGAAGAUUCCAAGGAAUUUAAACAGGACAAGGUCAAACCAAAAGAUAGUCAGCCUGACGAAGAAUCUCCUAGCCAGACUGACUCUGUUGUUUCUGCUGAAACUGUUGCAGAAGAAGAAUCACCACCUGGAAUUACAAAAAUCCCUCUUCACACCCAGAAU